CAGGCGGACUGGUCGUCACCAGUGAGGCUCUUCCACCACCGUGGGUCGUCGUCUGCCCUAAUGUGAGCUUGACCUUGCCUUGUUACCCCAAUUGGUUCUCUGGUGGACAUGGAGCAGCUCCAUCAGAUCAUUGGUGAGGUUGCUGGAGAUGUUUCUGUGUGUAAUAUGAUCAGGGAUUGUAUUAGUUGAGAUUGAUCUUGGGUCAGAUCUGAAAUUGUUGGAGGAAGCUAAGGACUUUGUUUCGGGACGAGCAUCUCGAUGUCGGAUUUCGGGACACG